AUUUAGCUUGCUAGAUGGGAAAGUGGCGCACGGGUGCGUAACGCGUAUGCAACCUACCUUAAUCAGGGGGAUAGCCCGAAGAAAUUCGGAUUAACACCGCAUAAAAUCACAGUACAGCAUUGUACAAUGAUCAAAUAUUUAUAGGAUUAAGAUGGGCAUGCGUGUCAUUAGUUAGUUGGCGAGGUAACGGCUCACCAAGACCACGAUGACUAGGGGAUCUGAGAGGAUGACCCCCCACACUGGUACUGAGACACGGACCAGACUCCUACGGGAGGCAGCAGUAAGGAAUAUUGGUCAAUGGAGGCAACUCUGAACCAGCCAUGCCGCGUGCAGGAAGACAGCCCUCUGGGUCGUAAACUGCUUUUAUUCGGGAAUAAACCUACUUACGUGUAAGUAGCUGAAUGUACCGAAGGAAUAAGGAUCGGCUAACUCCGUGCCAGCAGCCGCGGUAAUACGGAGGAUCCAAGCGUUAUCCGGAUUUAUUGGGUUUAAAGGGUGCGUAGGCGGCUUAUUAAGUCAGGGGUGAAAGACGGUGGCUCAACCAUCGCAGUGCCCUUGAUACUGAUGAGCUUGAAUACACUAGAGGUAGGCGGAAUGUGACAAGUAGCGGUGAAAUGCAUAGAUAUGUCACAGAACACCGAUUGCGAAGGCAGCUUACUAUGGUGUCAUUGACGCUGAGGCACGAAAGCGUGGGGAUCAAACAGGAUUAGAUACCCUGGUAGUCCACGCCCUAAACGAUGAAUACUCGCUGUUAGCGAUACACAGUUAGCGGCUAAGCGAAAGCGUUAAGUAUUCCACCUGGGGAGUACGCCCGCAAGGGUGAAACUCAAAGGAAUUGACGGGGGCCCGCACAAGCGGAGGAGCAUGUGGUUUAAUUCGAUGAUACGCGAGGAACCUUACCCGGGCUUGAAAGUUAGUGAAUGAGAUAGAGAUAUUUCAGUGAGCAAUCACACGAAACUAGGUGCUGCAUGGCUGUCGUCAGCUCGUGCCGUGAGGUGUUGGGUUAAGUCCCGCAACGAGCGCAACCCCUAUGUUUAGUUGCCAGCACGUUAAGGUGGGGACUCUAAACAGACUGCCUGUGCAAACAGAGAGGAAGGAGGGGACGACGUCAAGUCAUCAUGGCCCUUACGUCCGGGGCUACACACGUGCUACAAUGGAUGGUACAGAGGGCAGCAAGCUGGCAACAGCAAGCAAAUCUCAAAAAGCCAUUCACAGUUCGGAUAGAGGUCUGCAACUCGACCUCUUGAAGUUGGAUUCGCUAGUAAUCGCGUAUCAGCAAUGACGCGGUGAAUACGUUCCCGGGCCUUGUACACACCGCCCGUCAAGCCAUGGAAGUUGGGGGUACCUAAAGU
rnacentral:rRNA from 1 species